rnacentral:rRNA from 1 species
GACGAACGCUGGCGGCAUGCCUAAUACAUGCAAGUCGAGCGAACAGAUGAAGUGCUUGCACUUCUGACGUUAGCGGCGAACGGGUGAGUAACGCGUAAGGAAUCUACCUAUAAGCGGAGGAUAACAUUCGGAAACGGGUGCUAAUACCGCAUAAUAUCUUCUUCCGCAUGGAAGAAGAUUGAAAGACGGCCCUGCUGUCACUUAUAGAUGACCUUGCGGUGCAUUAGUUAGUUGGUGGGGUAAUGGCCUACCAAGACGAUGAUGCAUAGCCGACCUGAGAGGGUGAUCGGCCACAUUGGGACUGAGACACGGCCCAAACUCCUACGGGAGGCAGCAGUAGGGAAUCUUCCGCAAUGGGCGAAAGCCUGACGGAGCAAUGCCGCGUGAGUGAAGAAGGCCUUCGGGUCGUAAAACUCUGUUAUAAGAGAAGAACAAAUUGUAGAGUAACUGCUACAGUCUUGACGGUAUCUUAUCAGAAAGCCACGGCUAACUACGUGCCAGCCGCCGCGGUAA